GGAGACAUAGCUCAGUUGGUAGAGUGCUUGCCUUACAUGCACAGACCUUGGGUUUAAUCCCCAGCACCA
rnacentral:tRNA from 1 species